CGGACGGGUGAGUAACGCGUGAGAACCUACCUUCAGGAUGGGGAUAACAGAGGGAAACUCUGCUAAGACCCAAUGUGCCGAGAGGUGAAACAAAAUUGCCUGAAGAUGAGCUCGCGUCGGAUUAGCUAGUUGGUGAGGUAACGGCUCACCAAGGCACGAUCCGUAGCUGGUCUGAGAGGAUGAUCAGCCACACUGGGACUGAGACACGGCCCAGCUCCUACGGGAGGCAGCAGUGGGGAAUUUUCCGCAAUGGGCGCAAGCCUGACGGAGCAAACCGCGUGCGGGAGGACAGUCCAUCGGAUUGUAAACCGCUUUUCUCUGGGAAGAUGUGACGGUACCAGAGGAAUCAGCAUCGGCUAACUCCGUCCAGCAGCCGCGGUAAGACGGAGGAUGCAAGCGUUAUCCGGAAUGAUUGGGCGUAAAGCUCCGCAGGUGGCUAGCCAAGUCCGCUGUCAAAGCGUGAGGCUUAACCUCAUACAGGCAGGGAAACUGGAUAGCUAGAGGGUGGUAGGGGUAGAGGGAAUUCCCAGUGUAGCGGUGAAAGCGUAGAUAUUGGGAAGAACACCAGUGGCGAAAGCGCUCUACUGGGCCAUGCCUGACACGAGGGACGAAAGCUAGGGGAGCGAAAGGGAUUAGAUACCCCUGUAGU
rnacentral:rRNA from 1 species